rnacentral:RNase_P_RNA from 1 species
GCAGACGUGCGGACGGUCGCUUCAUGCCGGGAGCAUGAUGAGGAAAGUCCGGGCAACACAGAGCAGCAUAUUUUCUAACGGAAAGCCGGAGGCGACUCCGGGGAUCAAUGUGACAGAAAACAACCGCCCCCCUCGCUUAGCGCCGUCGAGGCGCAGGAGCCCGGCGGGUAAGGGUGAAAAGGUGGGGUAAGAGCCCACCGGCUCCCAUGGCGACAUGGGAGGCCGCACAUCCUAUGCGUUGCAAGGCCAAGUAUACCGGCAGUCAAGGAUUGCUCGUCCAUUGCCGGGGGGUAGGCCGCUAAAGUCGGCGGGCAACCGUCGGACUCAGAUAAAUGACCGUCGGCCGGUGACUGCGUGUCGCCGGCUACAUAACCCGGCUUACAACACGUCUGCCCUU